GUGGUUAGAGUGUAGAGGCGGCAGGUAGCCUAGUGGUUAGAGUGUAGAGGCGGCAGGUAGCCUAGUGGUUAGAGUGUAGAGGCGGCAGGUAGCCUAGUGGUUAGAGUGUAGAGGCGGCAGGUAGCCUAGUGGUUAGAGUGUGGAGGCGGCAGGUAGCCUAGUGGUUAGAGUGUAGAGGCGGCAGGUAGCCUAGUGGUUAGAGUGUAGAGGUGGCAGGUAGCCUAGUGGUUAGAGUGUAGAGGGGGCAGGUAGCCUAGUGGUUAGAGUGUAGAGGGGGCAGGUAGCCUAGUGGUUAGAGUGUAGAGGCGGCAGGUAGCCUAGUGGUUAGAGUGUAGAGGCGGCAGGUAGCCUAGUGGUUAGAGUGUAGAGGCAGCAGGUAGCCUAGUGGUUA
ensembl:lncRNA